CAGCAGAAGAGCAGGCAGGGAAGGGAGGGUGGAGGGGCAGAGACUCCCCUUUCAUCUGUGCUUGGUUCCGGAGGAGGCCAACAGAGGAAUUAACCCGGGAAGCAAUUGAAGUCAAAUGUCCCAUCUAAAGUGAAGCUUUUUUAUAUCAUGGCAGCCCUGUAGUGGUGGAGUUGUAAAAAGGAGGAGCAAAUUUGCAAAGCCUGACAAGCCCUUAAUUCAGAUCUCCCAGCAAUCACUCCAACUCAUUUUAUUGGACUACAAGUUACAAGGAUUGAACUCCAGUUGUCAGACUUGGUGGCACGCACCUUUACCUGAUGAGCCAUCUCUCCUGCCCAUCUAUAAUCUCAUCGAGCGCACAUGUUAUAUGCAACAAGAUAAAAAUGGGAAGCGUGAACACAUGGGAAGGAGAAGGCAUUGUUUACCUGGGAAUCCGACUGAGGCCUCUACCAGCUUAUGGCCUUUCUCCUUUCCUAAGUAUAGCCCCACAACGUUCUAGAAAUCUCAUUAGAAACCCCUUGUGCAAAUUGAGUGGCUCCUGGCUUUAUCAUAUCACAUUGAUGUCUCAUCCAGGGCACCUCAGAAACCACCCUGUAUUCUCACUUUCAAAAAGAAAAAAAGGGCAAAAGAAAAACAAACAAACAAACAAACACCCUGGUGUUUCUUAGCAGCCCCUCUGAGAUGCAACCUAAAAGUCACCCAAAUGUGGCUAACUCCAAGGCCCUGAAUUGUGACUCUCUUGAGAAUCCUGCACCUCACCUGGAUGUACCUUAUUCUUUCCCUUAGCCCCUGUGUUUAAAAUGUGUGUUCCUGGCGUUCUGUUUGUGUGUUUGUUUUGCUUUUAUAAGUUCUGCCUCUCACUGAGCCACCCACACCCCUGCUUUUGUCUGUCCCUGGUUACCUUUGUUUCUAUUGUUAAUAAACUCUAAACCAGUUUCAUAA